AUUGAACGCUGGCGGCAGGCCUAACACAUGCAAGUCGAACGGUAACAGGAUGUGCUUGCACAUCGCUGACGAGUGGCGGACGGGUGAGUAAUGCUUGGGAAUUUGCCUUUGCGAGGGGGAUAACAGUUGGAAACGACUGCUAAUACCGCAUAACGUCUACGGACCAAAGGGUGCUUCGGCUCUCGCGUGAAGAGAAGCCCAAGUGAGAUUAGCUAGUUGGUGAGGUAAAGGCUCACCAAGGCGACGAUCUCUAGCUGUUCUGAGAGGAAGAUCAGCCACACUGGGACUGAGACACGGCCCAGACUCCUACGGGAGGCAGCAAUGGGGAAUAUUGCACAAUGGGGGAAACCCUGAUGCAGUCAUGCCGCGUGUGUG
rnacentral:rRNA from 1 species